AUGGAGGUGUUGAAACUGAAGAUGACUGAGGAGAUUCUUUUUCAGAGAAAGCGUAGAAAGAAAAAGGAAUUUUCUGGAGAGUUCUUGAUAUUUUUCGCUCUGAAUUUCUGUUGUGAAUUGUAUAGAAUAGAUAUAUAUUGGUAUAUGGAGUUUUCUCUGUGUAAAUAUCUUGUAUUCUCCCUUCUCUAUUUUCUGUUGGAUGUUCUGUUAUCUGGAAGUUUUUCUGUUAUAGUGGUUAUGAACAAUUAG